rnacentral:rRNA from 1 species
CCUACGGGAGGCAGCAGUGAGGAAUAUUGGUCAAUGGACGAGAGUCUGAACCAGCAAAGUAGCGUGAAGGAUGACUGCCCUAUGGGUUGUAAACCUCUUUUAUAUGGGAAUAAAACGUUCCAUGUGUGGGAUUUUGUAUGUACCAUAUGAAUAAGGAUCGGCUAACUCCGUGCCAGCAGCCGCGGUAAUACGGAGGAUCCGAGCGUUAUCCGGAUUUAUUGGGUUUAAAGGGAGCGUAGGUGGAUUGUUAAGUCAGUUGUGAAAGUUUGCGGCUCAACCGUAAAAUUGCAGUUGAAACUGGCAGUCUUGAGUACAGUAGAGGUAGGUGGAAUUCGUGGUGUAGCGGUGAAAUGCUUAGAUAUCACGAAGAACUCCGAUUGCGAAGGCGGUUCACUGGACUGCAACUGACACUGAGGCUCGAAAGUGUGGGUAGCAAACAGGAUUAGAUACCCUUGUAGUC